AACAGAUAACAUCUAAGGAAUGACCCGGCAAAGCCAUCGUGUGCAUAUUCCAGACCACUGGUGCUAGACAUCUUGACGCCAAGACCCCCUGACUGCAGGGAAUAAGUGACUUAUGAUGGACAGCUGGACCUUGUCCUUAUUCUGACCAGCUCCUGGAUGCCUGAGAGGACACAUGCAACAGGCCAUACUGAUCAAUAAAAACCGCAGGCCCCAAGCAAAGACAAGACUCCCUCCUUUCCUUUCUGAGUCUCCCAGACGCUCUGUCUGUACCUACAGUGUCUCUAUACCUUCAGUAAGUGCUGCUUUUGGCUCCUGCUGGCUUGCAUUUGACUUCUAUCCUGCCCACAGCCAAGGAUCCUCUUGGCUGGUUCUGUGAGACCCUCCUUUGGGUCCUCAGACCUAAGCUUCCGGCAUCCCAGAGAAGAAUGUAAUGCGUCUUUUCAUUCAUUUCAAUCAUCCUUAAAAGCUCACAGAAAAUUUGAAGCUUUCUUCCUCCAAGUCCAGUAUAUUUAUCGUUAAGGUUAUUCUUAAUGUUUUUUUCUUAAUUGCUUUGUUUUGUUUUGUUUUUGAUUGCUCACAUGAAUCAGAGUUUUUCAAUACGUCACAUAAUGAUGUCUGUGAUACAGGAAAAUACCAGUAUUUCUGAGUGUAUGCCAUCUGUCCAUCUUAUGAACUCAUCAUGAACUUAACAGCUUUUCCAUUUAGUUCUCUGAGGAUGUGGAGCAGUGAAGUCAAGUUACCUACAAAUAAGGAUGGUCUUCUACCUCCCCACUGCCAUCAUUUUCAAGGACAAGAUACACAGUUCCCUGUCAUCUCAUUUACAAUGUUAAGUGCAGAACUGAGGUACUUGCAGAUACCAUCGAGUGAUGAAACUUGUCUUAACUUCCUUAUACAGAAACUUCAAAUGAUGAAGUUAUCUAUCUAACUUCUCUGUUAAUGUUACACCUCUGUAGCUCACACUGAGGAAUUUGUUGGAACAUUUCAUUUUUUUUCCCAUAAUCAUGCACAUAUGCCUCUCAGGGAGACAUUCUAUGUAUAAAACUUAUUUCUAAAAGACAAACUUAACAUUUUAUGGAUACCUAGUCAAAUAGUGGCUUUAAGAUGUUAAGGAUAAAGUGAUUAUAGAAAUGUGUAUUUUAUUUUAUUUUAUUUCAUUUAAUUUUUUUUUAUAAGACUAGGAAGAAGUUUCACAGAUGUGUAUUUUGCCAGAAUGUUGCCCCCGAUUAUGCAUGGAUUCAGGGUCAAAAAUCCAGCUCCAUGAUUCCCUUCAGCUCAGGCCCAGAGGAAAUAAUCCAAAGUGAUGUCAGUUGGCUGUGAGCCAACCCAUGACCAAAGCCCAAGCACACUCAGAGGGGACCCAGAGUUAGGUCCAUGUGAGUCUCCUGUGGUCCCUUCACUGUGACCCUGUCAUGCCCUGUGAGCAGCGGUCAGCCUCUUGGGUCUGUCCUCGGUGUUACGUGUCUCCUCUUUCAUAGAGUACUGCCAAUAGGAACGUUCUUACUUCACCAUCUGGGACUGCUGUCCACAAAUGCUUCUGUAUAUAUAGUAAAUGAUCACAAGCAAAGGAAUGGGUUUCAGUCCCAUAAGCAGCAGAGCAGUGCUGACAAAACUUAAAGCUGCGUUUCACAGGGCUAACGCAAAAGAGUAUUUUUAUCUGCUGCCUCCUUGUAGCCUUACAGGUGCCAAGCGCUGGACAUCUGAAAACUUGCAGACUCCAUAGCAUAGAAGGGAACCCAACUGUUGUAGAAGCACGUGACACAGCAAGCCUUGAACACAGUUUUCCAAAUCACUAAACUCCAGAGAAACUUCUGUGAGCCUCAGAGCAAAAAGCCUAGGAUGUACAAGCAUUAUUAAUGAGCUCUGUUCUCAGUAACACAUCUUUCAAUUAAAAAAUUAUACAUGAACUAGAGCGUGUCAUGCUUAGCGAAAUAAGUCAAGCAGAGAAAGACAACUAUCAUAUGAUCUCCCUGAUAUGAGGAAGUGGUGAUGCAACAUGGGGGCUUAAGUGGGUAGGAGAAGAAUAAAUGAAACAAGAUGGGAUUGGGAGGGAGACAAACCAUAAGUGACUCUUAAUCUCACAAAACAAACUGAGGGUUGCUGGGAGGAGGGGGUUUGGGAGAAGGGGGUGGGAUUAUGGACAUUGGGGAGGGUAUGUGCUUUGGUGAGUGCUGUGAAGUGUGUAAACCUGGUGAUUCACAGACCUGUACCCCUGGGGAUAAAAAUAUAUGUUUAUAAAAAAUAAAAAAUUUAAAAAAAAAUUAUACAUCUUACCUUUAAAAAAAUCAGAUAGAGUAUGUAAACUUUUCAAAAUUCUUUCAAUGUCAGAAAGCACACAAUGAAUGAAAGUACUAGAUAAAUAAAUGUUUGACAAUGAUGAUUUUCUAGCUACUGCAUAUUUGUCCCAUACGUACAUAAAACAUGGUUCCAUAAUAUACAUAAAUAUCCUUCAGGUGUCAAGGGUUCCUGCAUGGCUCAAUCAGUUAAUUGUUAAAAAUAAACAAACAAACAAAUAAAUAAAAAUUUGAAAAUUAAAAAAAAAAAAUUCUUUAACUCCAAGCAUCAAUUCCUUCUCGUCACAUAAAACUGGCCCAGAAAGCCAUACUAACACACGACCAUUUUUUUCAUGCAAGGGUGACCGCCUUGAUGACUUUAUUCCAGAAAACUAGCCAUUUUCUCCAAAUCAAUGGAACUACAUAUCUGUUCCAAUUCUGAAG
rnacentral:lncRNA from 1 species